AUUGAACGCUGGCGGCAUGCCUUACACAUGCAAGUCGAACGGUAACAGGGACUUCGGUCCGCUGACGAGUGGCGAACGGGUGAGUAAAGCAUAGGAAUAUAUCCAUUAGUGGGGGAUAACGCAUCGAAAGGUGUGCUAAUACCGCAUACACUCCACGGAGAAAAGCAGGGGAUCGCAAGACCUUGCGCUAAUGGCUUAGCCUAUGUCCGAUUAGCUAGUUGGUAGAGUAAAAGCCUACCAAGGCGACGAUCGGUAACUGGUCUGAGAGGAUGAUCAGUCACACUGGAACUGAGACACGGUCCAGACUCCUACGGGAGGCAGCAGUGGGGAAUUUUGGACAAUGGGGGAAACCCUGAUCCAGCCAUGCCGCGUGGGUGAAGAAGGCCUUCGGGUUGUAAGCCUUCGGUAGGAAAGAAAACGAAUUGCUCUAACAUAGUAAUAGUCAUGACGGUACCUCCAUAAGAAGACACCGGCUAACUAACGUGCCAGCAGCCGCGGUAA
rnacentral:rRNA from 1 species